UACGUAGGGUGCAAGCGUUAAUCGGAAUUACUGGGCGUAAAGCGUGCGCAGGCGGUGAUGUAAGACAGUUGUGAAAUCCCCGGGCUCAACCUGGGAACUGCAUCUGUGACUGCAUCGCUGGAGUGCGGCAGAGGGGGAUGGAAUUCCGCGUGUAGCAGUGAAAUGCGUAGAUAUGCGGAGGAAUACCGAUGGCGAAGGCAGCCUCCUGGGCCAACACUGACGCUCAUGCACGAAAGCGUGGGGAGCAAACAGG
rnacentral:rRNA from 1 species